GGGCCCGUGGCCCAGAGCGGACAGGGCGCAGGCCUUCGGAGCCUGAAGUCGCCGGUUCAAGUCCGGCCGGGCCCA
rnacentral:tRNA from 1 species